rnacentral:snRNA from 1 species
GUGCUCGCUUGGGCAGCACAUAUACUAGAACUUGGAACGACACAGAGAAGAUUAGCACUGGCUGCUGUUCAAGGAUGACCCGCAAAUUCAUGAAGCGUUCCAUACUUGA